rnacentral:rRNA from 1 species
UACGUAGGGUGCAAGCGUUAAUCGGAAUUACUGGGCGUAAAGCGUGCGCAGGCGGUUUCGUAAGUCUGUCGUGAAAUCCCCGGGCUUAACCUGGGAAUGGCGAUGGAGACUGCGAGGCUAGAGUUUGGCAGAGGGGGGUAGAAUUCCACGUGUAGCAGUGAAAUGCGUAGAGAUGUGGAGGAACACCGGUGGCGAAGGCGGCCCCCUGGACAAAGACUGACGCUCAGGUGCGAAAGCGUGGGGAGCAAACAGG